rnacentral:rRNA from 1 species
UACAGAGGUCUCAAGCGUUGUUCGGAUUCAUUGGGCGUAAAGGGUGUGUAGGUGGCGCCGUAAGUCGGGUGUGAAAUUUCGGAGCUUAACUCCGAAACUGCAUUCGAUACUGCGGUGCUUGAGGACUGGAGAGGAGACUGGAAUUCAUGGUGUAGCAGUGAAAUGCGUAGAGAUCAUGAGGAAGACCAGUGGCGAAGGCGGCGAUCUGGACGAUGACUGACGCUGAGACGCGAAAGCGUGGGGAGCAAACAGG